rnacentral:rRNA from 1 species
AGGAAUGAGCAUCGGCUAACUCCGUGCCAGCAGCCGCGGUAAUACGGAGGAUGCAAGCGUUAUCCGGAUUCAUUGGGUUUAAAGGGUGCGCAGGCGGUGGAGCAAGUCAGUGGUGAAAGCCCGGAGCUCAACUCCGGGAUUGCCAUUGAAACUGUUUCACUUGAGUGUAGUCGAGGACGGCGGAAUGAGUUGUGUAGCGGUGAAAUGCAUAGAUAUAACUCAGAACACCAAUUGCGAAGGCAGCUGUCUAGACUACAACUGACGCUGAGGCACGAAAGCGUGGGGAGCGAACAGGAUUAGAUACCCUGGUAGUCCACGCUGUAAACGAUGAUCACUCGUUGUUGGCUACUUGGUAGUCAGUGACUAAGGGAAACCAUUAAGUGAUCCACCUGGGGAGUACGUCGGCAACGAUGAAACUCAAAGGAAUUGACGGGGGCCCGCACAAGCGGAGGAACAUGUGGUUUAAUUCGAUGAUACGCGAGGAACCUUACCUGGGCUUAAAUGCAGGCUGCAUUCCCGUGAAAGCGGGAUUUCCUACGAGACUGCCUGCAAGGUGCUGCAUGGUUGUCGUCAGCUCGUGCCGUGAGGUGUCGGGUUAAGUCCCAUAACGAGCGCAACCCCUAUCGCUAGUUGCCAGCAUGUAAUGGUGGGGACUCUAGCGAGACUGCCGGUGUAAACCGGAGGAAGGUGGGGACGACGUCAAAUCAGCACGGCCCUUACGUCCAGGGCUACACACGUGUUACAAUGGCCGGUACAAAGAGCAGCCACCUGGCGACAGGGUGCUAAUCUCCAAAGCCGGUCUCAGUUCGGAUCGAAGUCUGCAAUUCGACUUCGUGAAGGUGGAUUCGCUAGUAAUCGCGCAUCAGCCAUGG